UACGUAGGGGGCAAGCGUUGUCCGGAAUCAUUGGGCGUAAAGAGCGUGUAGGCGGCUCGAUAAGUCCGCUCUGAAAGCCCGGGGCUCAACCCCGGGAGGCGGGCGGAUACUGUCGAGCUAGAGUCCGGAAGAGGCGAGUGGAACUCCUGGUGUAGCGGUGAAAUGCGCAGAUAUCAGGAGGAACACCAAUGGCGAAGGCAGCUCGCUGGGACGGUACUGACGCUGAGGAGCGAAAGCGUGGGGAGCGAACAGG
rnacentral:rRNA from 1 species